rnacentral:rRNA from 1 species
GACGAACGCUGGCGGCGUGCUUAACACAUGCAAGUCGAGCGGUAAGGCCCUUUCGGGGGUACACGAGCGGCGAACGGGUGAGUAACACGUGGGUGACCUGCCCUCAGCUCUGGGAUAAGCCUGGGAAACUGGGUCUAAUACUGGAUAUGACUCCACGGUGCAUGUCGUGGGGUGGAAAGCCUUGUGCGGCUGAGGAUGGGCCCGCGGCCUAUCAGCUUGUUGGUGGGGGGAUGGCCUACCAAGGCGACGACGGGUAGCCGGCCUGAGAGGGCGACCGGCCACACUGGGAUGAGACACGGCCCAGACUCCUACGGGAGGCAGCAGUGGGGAAUCUUGCGCAAUGGGCGAAAGCCUGACGCAGCGACGCCGCGUGAGGGAUGACGGCCU